CAAACAGAGAUGUGUUAUACCGACAACAAACUCUCUCCUGCCCAGUAGGAUUCUGGGAAGGCUUAUGAGUCCGACUUUGAACACAAGUUAAAAAAUCCAGCACAUCUUCAAUCACAAACUUGGGCCUAAAUCAUAGCAUGUGUUGUGCGAUCUGAUGUUUGGGUCUCACCGGUGGUCAUCCGGGUCCAUGUGGAUCAGAGACAGUGGGAUUUGA